CUGAAAACUCUAUAUACAACAAACCUUACGAAAAGAAAAAAUUGCAAACGAAAUACAGCAGGACAGUCACACUUAUAUAUAGCCAGACGAGACCUACAUUAACAAACUCGAAAACCUAGUACGUUCUACUCAGUAAAGUACAGACUCAGAUGAUUCAUCUUUAAGUUCUAAACUUGGACUCGUCUAUCUCGAUUCCUUCCUCCCGUGCACGUUCUUCUCCCGGCUUGUCCCCAGUGCUCAGUCCGCCUUUGCGACCCAUUUCUUGAUAUCCUUCAGUUCCCAGCUGCUCCUUCCUCGUCUGCCCUCCCUUACUCCUCCCUAAACAAUAUUGAAGAAAAAGAGAAGUUAAAUAUAUAAUGGACUGUAUUUGAUUAUUCUGUGGAAUAUAUAGUGUAACAAUUGCUCUCGUCGAGUAAAAAAAUGAUGUUACCUUCAGCAAGGUGUUCUUGGGCCUCGAGGCUUUUUCCGCCGGUGCCACCCGGCACCACGGUCUCACCGUGCUUUGCCCUGGCGUCAAGCUCGGCUUUUUCUUGCUGGGAAGACAUUUUUAACUGCCUAAGUAAAACUAUGUGAUUUUCACUGCUUUGAACAAAUUCAACUGAUAACGACAAAUGCUUACAGCAUGAAGUGUGUGUAUAUAUAUAUCUACUGGUGAAAGGAUUAGAUGACACGUGGUAGCUCAGCGGCUAGUCUGGAGGAAGAAUUUGUGACACGUAUGCUGCAAAUUGACACGUGGCUUAGAAGUCGCUGUUUAAGUGACGCGUACUUCUGAGUCAUGGAGGAAAGUUAAUAGCAACUUUUUUAAUAUUUAAUUAAAAAUUAAUUUUUCAUGAAUUUUAAUUAAAGUUGAUUAAAUAAGUGAUUAAAAAAUUAAAACAAUUAAAAAUACAUAAUUAUAUAUAUAGUCCCCGUUUGGUGGUGCUUUUUCAUCCCAAAAAAUUAAUUUUUUGACUGUUAUUUUAUUAUUUUAAUCAUCAUUUUUUACUUCUUUAUUCAAAGAUGGCCCCCGAUCAAAAAAUCGAUUCUCAUAAUCACUACCGAAGGGCUCAUAGUAAAAAUUAAUAUUCAAGUUUAUUUAAAAAUUUUAAACUACACCAGAAAAGUCUUAUAUGUAAAGGAAAUAAAACCACUAAAUGUGUGAUUGAAAAAUUGAUAAAAAUUAAAAUUAUAUAUAUGUAUAGUAAAAAUUAAUUGUCAAGUUUAUUUUAAAUUUUUAAACUACACCAGACAAGUCUUAUAUGUAAAGGAGAUAACAUCGCUUUUUGAUUGUAAAAGGUGGACACCUAUGAAGAAUAAUAAAAUAUUAAUACUAUUUAUAAUCGGUGGCUGCAAUAGUCAUUCUAUGUUACAGUUUGUUGAUGAGUUUGCUUCACUCAUGAUCUUUGCACAAUUAUAGCUUCAUUAAAUGCUAGAUUUUGUGAAUAUAGAACGUUUUUAAUGUGUUUGUUAUUGUUUUAAAGAUUAGGAGAAGCGAUGUAAAAAAAAGUAUUAAAGUGGACGAAGAGGCCAAAAACACAGAAUUGAGGCAGAAAGACGACGCUUAGGCGCUGCAUUCAUAGCGCCUAGGCACUACGAAAGUGAAAAAAAAAAAGAUGAAAUUUGGUGCAAGAAUUCUAUUGUUUCUUUUAUAUCUUUAUUACAAACUCGGUGAUGUAUUCUAAGACAAUUUCUUACUUUUCUUCUUGUAUUAUGAGUAGCUAAAUUCAUUGUUAGGGGGAAUAAUGUAAUCAAUUGGGAUCUUUUACACUCUAUUAUUAAGACUUUCAAUUUUUAAUUCUUACAUGUGUUGAUUUUGCUAUGAGUUAAAUGCAUUAAAUUAUCUGAUCAAUAAUCUGAUGAUUUUUGUGAAUUCUUUACAAAUAGAGAUAUGAGUUUAGGAUUUAGACCAUGUACUAAAAUUCAAUACAUUGGUAUAGCGAGUAGAGAUACAUAUACCAUUUAUUGCGGUCAUAAUUGAAUUCCUAAAAUAUAGAACUCGUUUAACUAAAUUGAAUUUGCAUAGAGAUAUGAAAUUUAAGUAGUUGAAUAGGCUCAAUGAGAACUCGAGAGGGGUAAAUUGAAUACAAUAGGAGAAUUCGACCGAGCGCUACAUUAGAAUUGAGUUUUAAUUUGAGAUGUAAAGGUGAUCAAUUGGUGAAAUUAUUCUACCCUAAUAUCCAUUCAUUAUUUGAUUCUCUAACCAAUCGUGUGAAUAUUCAUUUAUUUUCUAGAAUUUAGAUUAAAACCCAGAUUUUACAACCUUUGAUUUGUGUUAGUCAAAUAGUAGUUAAAGAAAGAUUGAAUUAAGUGCUAGAAAAUAAUCCUUGUGGGAUCAACAAACCGGACUCUUAGUUCUACUAUUACUUGUUACGGGUCGUACACUUGCGAAACAAAAUUUUACAACAAGUUUUGGCGUUGUUGUCGGGGACUAUUUCUUCUAGUCUCAAUUAAUUUUUAUUUUAACUUUUAUUUGAUUUAUUUAUUUUUCUUUUAUUUACAGAAAAUUGUGUUCGUUGUAUGCUCCGUGCCCAAGGCGACGAUCUUGAACCGUUUGAUUCGGAGAUAGAACGUACUUCCAGACGAAGACGCAAAGAACACAAACAAAAACAGCAAUGUCAAAUGGCUGACAAUCAACAAAUCCAUAUCCCUAUUCAGCCGAUUGGACAAAUGGCCGCAAGAGCGGCACCACUGAAACAACAGCAUGAACAAGGGGAAAUAAAUGAAGGUGAUUUGUCAGUAUCAAUGUUCCUGACACCUAUAGCAGCACCCAUGCGCUCUAGUAUCGUGUAUCCAGAUUUUAGGGUGAAUAACUUUCAGAUCAGGCCAAAUUGGAUUAACUUGACAAGCAACACCCUGCAAUUCUACGGACUACCUCAAGAGAAUCCAAAUACGCAUAUCUCUAGAUUUCUCAGAAAUUGUCAGAACUUUCAUACUCCGAGGGUCAAUGAAGAUGCUAUUAAACUACGACUAUUCCCAUUUACAUUGAGAGACGCUGCAUUAGAGUGAUUAGAUGCUGAGCCUCACGUUAGCAUUACUACAUGGGAAGAACUAAUCAGGAAGUUCUGUAAUAAAUUUUUCCCAACGGCAAGGGUAGUUAAAAUCAAAUUGGAAAUUCAAACUUUUCAACAGAAAGAGGGAGAAAGCUAUCACGAAUUAUGAAAUAGGUUUAAUGAGAUGAUGAGAAAAUGCCCAAACCAUGGAAUUACUAUAGGUAAUCAAGUGCAGUACUUUUACACUGGACUUACACCACUGUCAAAAUCCCAAGUCGAUGCCUCAGCUGGGGGAUCAAUUAUAGGAAAAUUUGUGCAGCAAACCAUGGAAUUGUUUGAGUUGAUUGCCACUACACAUUCAAUAUUCUCAUCAGAAAGAGUGACGCCAUCGAAGACUGGAGGAAUGUAUGAGUUAGACAGCAUAGCAGCUACUAACGUCCAAAUAAUAGCAUUGACAAUACAGGUGGAGUUAUUGGUAAAAUCAAAAAUGAAAGGAGCACAUGCAGUGACAGCUAGUCCAUCAUGUGAGAACUGUGGGUCUAAUCAUCUGGUAGAAAACUGCACAUCUAUAGGCUAUCCCGAUGAACAGGUCAAUUUCAUUCAGAAUGGGUCUCGAAAUUUUAAUCCAUUUGCUCAAACAUACAACCCAGGAUGGAGACAACACCCAAACUUCAGAUGGUCGGAUAAUCAAUAAGGGAACAGUUCAAAUAAUACCCAACAGGAGAAAAAACCAAGUUUGGGAGAGAUGUUCAACCAGUACAUGCAGAAGACUGACAAGGUGUUUCAGCAGAUUGACACUAACUUUCAGAAUCAGCAAGUAUCAGUCAAGAAGUUGGAAACACAAAUUGGUCAGAUUGCUCAACAGUUUGCAGAACGCCGACAAAGGACAUUGCCAAGCAACACAAUGGUCAAUCCAAAAGAGCAAGUGCAAGCUAUUACUACUAGGAGUGGGGUACAACUUCCAGAAAUACAUGUGAAGAGACCAGAGCGAAAAGAAAAGGAAAUAAUGAGUGAAGAGGCUGGGACAGAAGUCGAGUUUGAACAACCAACUGACAAGAAGAACGAAAGGAAAGAAACACCUGCAGUGAGAGCACCCAGCCCCGUGAAGGUUUAUGUGCCACCAAUUCCCUUCCCUCAAAGGUUACAAAGAAAGAAGUUGGAUAAUCAAUUUGCCAAGUUUGUGGAGAUUUUCAAGAAACUGCACAUCAAUAUUCCUUUUGCAGACACAAUUGCCCAAAUGUCCAGCUAUGCAAAAUUCUUGAAAGAGAUCCGAUCUAACAAAAGGAAGCUGGAAGAACAUGAGAUCGUAUGCUUGAACGAGGAGUACAGUGCAAUACUAUUGAGAAAGCUACACCCUAAAUUAAAAGACCCAGGGAGUUUCACUAUACCUUGCACAAUUGGUUCUAAUUUCUUUAAACAUUCUUUAUGUGAUUUAGGUGCCAGUGUUAAUUUGAUGCCUCUCUCUGUUUAUAGGUCUCUUGGAUUAGGAGAAGCAAAACCUACAACAAUCUCUUUGCAAUUGGCCGACAGAUCGAUCAAACGACCAAAGGGAAUUAUUGAAGAUGUGCUGGUCAAAGUUGACAAAUUUGUUUUUCCAGCUGAUUUCAUUAUUUUGGACAUGGAAGAGGACUCAAAUAUUCCUCUGAUCUUGGGAAGACCGUUCUUGGCUACUGGGAGAGCAUUGAUUGAUGUUUAUGAUGGAAAAAUGAUUCUUCGAGUGGACAAUGAGCAAGUCAUAUUCAACGUGUUCAAGGUAAUGAAACACCCAUUGACUUCCGACACUUGCUGCCAAGUUGAUGUUCUUGAAGAGCUUGUGGUGGAUACAUUUGAUAUAGAGCAUCACACAAAUCUUUGUGAGGCAGAAAUUGCGCAAUUAGAAGCACCAAAUGCAGGAAAAGUUAAAUGUGUUGUCAACUUAGCCGAGCAACCCAUAGGAAGAAGGCAUUGGCAAUACAAAUCUUUAGGAGACAAUCCUUCUCCCCCGUUACCCUCAGUGGAAAAGGCACCCACUCUUGAACUAAAGCCCUUAGCUUUCCAUCUUCGUUAUGCAUAUUUCGAAGAAUCUUCAACACUGCCAGUAAUCAUUGCAUAUGAUAUGACAAGGGAAGAGGAGAAUCAAUUGUUGGAGGUACUUAGGCAGCACAAAAUGGCAAUUGGAUGGACAAUAGCUGACAUAAGAGGGAUCAGUCCAACUCUUUGCAUGCACAAGACGGGUCAAGGGCAUCGGUGGAAGGACAACGCCGAUUGAAUCCAACAUUGAAAGAAGUCGUGCGAAAAGAAGUGCUGAAAUUACUGGAUGUAGGAAUAAUUUAUCACAUAUCUGAUAGUUCAUGGGUGAGUCAUGUACAUGUUCUACCUAAAAGGGUGGAAUCACAGUGGAGAAGAACGAGAACAAUGAGAUGAUACCAACACGGUUAGUGACAGGGUGGAGAGUCUGCAUAGAUUAUAGAAAGCUAAAUAAUUCAACCAGAAAGGACCAUUUUCCAUUGCCAUUCAUUGAUCAAAUGUUGGAAAGGUUAGCAGAACAUUCUCAUUAUUGCUUUUUGGAAGGAUAUUCAGGAUACAAUCAGAUAGUAAUUCCUCCAGAAGACCAAGAGAAGACACCUUCACAUGCCCUUAUGGAACGUUUGCGUUUAGAAGAAUGUCUUUUGGUUUAUGCAAUGCACCGGAAACCUUUCAACGAUGCAUGAUGACCAUCUUUUCUGACAUGGUAGAAAAGUACAUUGUGGUUUUUAUGGACGAUUUUUCUGUGUUUGGAGAUUCCUUUGACGAUUGCUUGGAGCGGUUGGCUCUUGUAUUGCAAAGAUGUGAGGAGAAGAACCUUGUGCUUAAUUGGGAAAAAUGUCAUUUCAUGGUAAAGGAAGGAAUAGUACUGGGACAUCGAAUUUCUGCACAGGGGAUUGAAGUGGAGAAAGCCAAAAUACAGGUGAUUGAGAAAUUGCAGUUACCUAAUUCAGUAAAGGGGAUCAGGAGUUUUCUGGGACAUGCAGGGUUUUAUAGAAGAUUCAUUCAAGACUUUGCAAAAAUUACAAAACCAUUAUGCAACCUGCUGGAGAAAGAUAUACUAUUUCAAUUUUUUGAUGAGUGUUUGAAAGCUUUCAACACUUUGAAAGAAAAAUUGACAUCGGCACCUGUGAUAGUGGCUCUAGAUUGAGAAUUGCCUUUCGAGCUCAUGUGUGACGCCAGUGACUUUGCAGUGGGGGCAGUGCUUGGACAACGCAACGGAAAAGUAUUUCAUCUACUACGCUAGCAAAACAUUGAAUGAUGCUCAGAUCAACUAUGCAACAACUGAAAAGAAAUUGCUUGCAAUUGUUUUUGCUUUUGACAAAUUUCGUUCUUAUUUGAUUGGGUCCAAGGUGAUAGUUUAUACAGACCAUGCAGCUCAGAAGUAUUUGUUUGAGAAGAAGGACGCGAAACCAAGGCUAAUACACUGGGUGCUGUUGCUACAAGAAUUUGACAUCGAGAUUCGUGAUAAAAAAGGAACAGAAAAUCAGGUAGCGGAUCACUUAUCAAGGAUAGAGCAACAGCAGGAUUCAGAUGAUAUGAAUAUUAAUGAGGUCUUCCUAGAUGAUCAGUUACUGCAAGUAGAAAAAGAUCCGUGGUAUGCAGACAUUGUUAAUUACGUAGCCAGUGGCUAUAUAGAUCCGAAUCUCACCUCUCAGUAAAAGAAGAAGCUCAGUCAUGAAGCGAAAUUCUAUUAUUGGGAUGAUCCAAAUUUAUAUAGGAGAGGGGCGGACCAGAUCAUUAGGAGAUGUGUGCCUGAGGAUGAAAUGAAAUCGAUCCUUUCACGAGUACAUGCUUUGGCUUAUGUAGGGCACUUUGGCCCCACUAAAAUAGUAACAAAGGUGCUCCAAUGUGGUUUCUUUUAGCCUACAUUGUUCAAGGACUGCCACAGUUUCUGUAGGUCAUGCGAUAAGUGUCAAAGAACAGGUAACAUAUCAGCGCGUCACGAGAUGUCACUUAACAACAUUUUGGAAGUUGAAAUAUUUGAUGUCUGGGGGGUUAAUUUUAUGGGUCAGUUUCCAUCAUCUUACAACAAUCGGUACAUCCUGGUUGCGGUGGACUAUGUUUCAAAAUGUGUAGAAGCUAAAGCAUUACCUACAAAUGACGCAAGGGUGAUGGUGGACUUCAUAACAAAACACAUAUUUAACCGCUGUGGAUCACCUAGGGCCAUUAUAAGUGAUGUUAGAACGCACUUCCGCAAUCGGAUGUUCCAAGCAGUUUUGCAUAAGUACGGGGUGCAACAUCGAAUUGCCACUCAUUAUCACCCUCAGAUAAGUGGACAAGUGGAAAUGUCAAACAGCCAAUUGAAAAGAAUUUUGGAGGUCACUGUAAAUGCAUCUCGUAAGGAUUGGUCAAAAAAAUUGGACGAUGUUUUAUGGGCAUAUCGCACAGCUUACAAGACACCUAUAGGAAUGUCUCCAUACCGACUAGUCUUUGGGAAAGCAUGUCACCUACCAGUGAAAUUCAAGCACAGAGUGUAUUGGGCAUUGAAGCAAUUAAACAUGGACCUCGAAAAGGCUGAAGAAACAAGAGUACUACAGCUACAUGAGUUGGAGGAAUUCAGAAGAGAGACAUAUGAUAAUGCAUCCAUCUAUAAGGAAAUGACAAAGCAGUGGCACGAGAAGAACAUCAAGCAACGAAUUUUUCGAGUCGGGGAUCAAGUGCUAUUAUACAAUUCCCGGCUUAAGCUUUUUCCAGGAAAAUUGAAGUCACGAUGGUCCGUUCCUUUUACGGUCUCUCAGGUGUUUUCUUACGGGACAGUUGAAUUACACCAUCGAACUAAAGAAAAUUUCAAAGUAAAUGGCCAACGCAUCAAGCAUUAUGUGGAAGAUUUCCCCACCGCUAAAGAGAGUCUUGAUCUAACUGUUCCCGAAUAACUGUGGCACUACGUCCAGCUAAUGACUUAAAAGAAGCGCUUCUUGGGAGGCAACCCAAGUUCUACCCUUUAUUUGAUUAUUGGUUUUUGCUUUGACUUUGUUUUUCCUUUAAUAAUCUAUGCUAUCGUAGUAACACAUUCUUUUGUUUUUUUUUUUUUUUUUUUUUUUUUUUGUAGGAGAAUCCAUAAAGGUUACAUAUUGCGGAAUUUGAGUUCUACAAUGAAAACGAAUGAGUAUGAUAAGAAGGAGGAAUUAAAAAAAUAAAAAUAAUUUUUUUUAAAAAUAAAGGGGCGAUAGGCGCUACGACACUGGAACUGCCCAUUCGGGGCAGAAACGCAGUGCUUGGGCGCUGCGAACCCCUCUUCAUAUUUUUUUUAAUUUUACUUCUUUUCUAUUUCUUAUACCCUCUUCUCCUCUCCCUCUCACACUACGUAUUUUUCCCCAAACCUACUCCCUCUCAUCUUCUUCCCCCAACACCCUUAAAUUUCCCCAUCUCCUCCUCCUCCUCAACCCUACCAAGGUACCCUCUUCCUCUCUCUUUCCUUAUUCAGUUUAGUGUUUUUUUUUUUUUGAAUUUAUUUUAUCACCUCACCCACAUCACAAUUCUUUCAACUCCACAUAUUCUCGCCCCCCCCCCUCCCAAUCCCCCUUGUUGAUUUUAAAAUUUCAUUGUUGUUAAGUGUGAAUUCAUCUGUUCCUAUUAGUUUCCACAACACCAUUCCAAGUAUGGCUAUUUUUGCUCCCUAUUUUUUUCCCUCUCUUACAUGAUAGUUGUUGCUUAUAUGUGCCUAUUUUUGAUAAUUAUGUUAAGAGGAGAGUUUGAUUUGUUGUGGUGUCAAGAAAUUUGUGUAUGGUGCGAAUAGUGUGGCAUGAAUUACUCCCAAAUUAUGGGCAAUUUUUGGUGAAAAUUUGGUGCCUUCAAAGUGUUUGAUGGAUUGCCUAGGUGAACUUAGUUGGAUACAAAGGAGCUAUUUUGGCUAUUGUGCUAAUUGACUUAUGUGGGUAUUGCUAUGUAGAAGAUCGUAAAUUGAAAUUGGGUUUAGAAUACAUCUAUUGCACGUUCGACCAUAGUUCCCUCUUAUGGCUAGAUUUUAAGCCCUGCCUUAUUUUCCUUUACUGCUGUUGUUGCUAAUGGUUUGCAAGUUCUACACUUGCACAGGUCCAAUGCCACUUAAAAAGAGAUCUAAAGCCGCAGCCUCCUCUUUUAGCUCAUUUGACAGGAGCAAAUUCAUUAGUGUCGAGGCCGCUAAACGAUAUAAUAGCCUGGUGGUACACAAGACCUGUAUCCCUGAACGUGGUUUUGAUAAUUAUACGACAGAGCAGAUAGGUCGGCGAAACUGGGAAGUGUUUGCUCGACAACCAAGAUCGGCGCUAAUUCCAGUUGUUCGGGAGUUCUACGCCAAUGUGAAGGAGCAUCGAGAUUUUCGAGUGUUUGUGCGGGGUAAAUGGUUACCGUUUGAUAGAACCUCCAUCAACAUGUUUUAUCAUUUGCAAGAUAUUGAAAAUGACGAGUACUCUAGACUUCGUGACGAGGGUGUUGAUCCUGAUGAGGUCAUUUGAGUCUUGGCCACAACUAGUACUACAUGGAAACGUUCGGAGACUGAUAUACUUAACUUCCCUACUUCUGGUAUGACUUCGGGUUGUAAGGCUUGGCAUCACUUCAUUUCUGGCAAACUUAUUCCCAGUAGCAAUUUAAGUAAAGUAACAAAAGAACGGGCUACCCUCAAUUAUGCCAUUCAAUGCCGCCUAUCAAUUGAUGUUAGUAAAAUUAUUCACAACAUCUUACACACUUUGAGAGGAUUGACGACAGGUAGUCUAGGGCACCCAUUGUUGAUUUAUGAGCUUUGCUUAGCGGGUGGUGUUGUCACAUACCCGACUGAGGAGGUCAUGCACCCCAAACCGACUAUCACACGAGCACGUACUUGGAAGUUCUUACGCCGCUCCGAAUCCACCAGUACUCCACCCUCUCCUCGGAGCGAUUAGCCGCCCCGUUCACGCCGAUCGACACCAGCUAGUGACCCCACUUCUGACCUUUCCGUUGAGCUUCAUGACAUGUAAUUGCAAAUGAAUUUGAUGCAAAAUACAUUGUGCGAGUAAUUCCAUUAUCAACAUGAUUUCAAUGCGGUAUUGGCUUUGAUUUACUCCAAUCAAAAAUUUCCUCAGCUGCCUCUCUUACCUGAUCAUGCUGCCAAUCCAAUUCCGAAUACCCAGGAUGACAAUUAACGUCGUCCAUCAGGUAAGUCCCCUCUCCAUUUUGUUUCUAUUUCACAUUGAGGACAAUGUUUCAGUUAAUUUGGGGAGUGAAUAAAUUUGCUUACGUUGUUGAGUUUCUCGAAUGCUUGCAUAUGAUUUGCUUGUUUUAUGUGUUCAUGUGUUUAGUGUUUAAAAAAAAAUUAUAUAUGCAUUUUCAUCUUCAGCAUGCUUGUGUGAGUUAGAUAGUCUUGUUAGCUAUUAUGAAUAUAUUUGAGAGCAUGUAUUAGUUUAUGGAUUGUGGAUGAAUCAUAUGUUUUAAUUGGAUUUUCUACUUAUACAUAUGAAGCGGUAUAACAUUUAUGCACGAGUAUUAAGUUGAGCGUCGUACAGGAACAUGAGGGCUCAUGCACAUAGGAUAAAGAGAUGACUUAGGUGUGUAAUCUCGUAACCCGUGAAUGUCAAUACCCUUUAACCGUAUACCUUAUAAUUUGGGGCAUUCUAACCAGCGAAAGAAAUGAUUUAAGAUUGUGGUGAUUCCAUACGUGUGAAAAAGAUUGUGUGGAGUGUAUUUAAUUUUCUGGUAUAAGCUUGGUGAUGACCGAAUGCUAGAAAUCUAACCCUAUAAAUUUCACUUCUUUUUAUUAGAGAAGAAGUAUUGCACGUAUUCAGCUAAGUCUCACACCUGCACAUUUUUUACUCGAGUUAUUAAGUCCGUAGGGGUCUCUUGAAACCUGGUACCCUUUGGUAUACAAAAAAAUCGAGAAAUUACUGACCUAACACUUGCUACAGGGAUCAAGAAGUGGAAAAAAGGUGAGGUAAAAAAAUUAAUUAAAUAAAUAAAAGAAAAAAAGAAAAGAAAAGAAAAAAAGAAAUUGAUCUUGGAGGCCUAGAUAACUACUGGGUUUGAAUUACUAAGUAUAAACUAGAUUGUUGAAACACUCAUAAAUUGGGAGAGUCACUACAUGAAUGAAUUGUUGACGUUGCCGGUUGAACUAACCCAAAUUAGAGUGGUGUGAGAAAAUUUUAAGCAAAACUGAACUUUAGAAUUACACCAUGGUAAGAGAAUAAAAGAAUUAAGUUUGGAUGUAUGUGAAUCUUACGAGUGAAGAAAGGAAAUAAUUGACCAUUGAGGGUUGGGAAGUGAACCAACUUGUGAAUGUACGGUGCUACGCUUGACCCUCCACACACACACACACACCCGCUUCGAGUUGUAUGAGUGAAAGUUUGGGUGAUUUUAACACCAUUCAUAAAUAUAAUAUAAUGUUAUCAAUACUGAGCCAAAAAGACAAGCUGUCUAACUGACUAAUUGUGGGGUAUCGUCCUUGGAUGAUUUUACUGUUUGGAUUGUUUGUUUCCCCAAGGACUAGCAAAUGGUUAAGUUUGGGGGUAUUUGAUGAGUUUGUUUCACUCAUAAUUUUUGCACAAUCGUAGCUUUAUUAAAUGCUAGAUCUUGUGAGUAUAGAACGAUUUUGAUGCGUUUGUUAGUGUUGUUUUGAAAAUUAGGAGAAGCGAUGUGAAAAGAAGUAUUAAAGUGGACGAAGAUGCCAAAAACACGAAAUUGGGGUAGAAAGAUGGCGCUUAGGCGCUGCAUUCAUAGAGCCUAGGCGCUACGAAAGUGAAAAAAAAUGAAAUUUGGACCUGAGAGGCAGCACCUAGGCAUCCCAACCAUAGCGCCUAGGCACCGAAACCACAGCGCCCAGGCGUUAUAACCAGCGCUUAGGUACUGUCUCGUAGCGCAAGAUUUAAGGCUCGUUUUUUGGGCCGUUUUUAGAUCCAUAAAAACUCUACUUCUACAUAAAACGGAGGGGGCACAUAUAAAUACAUCUUCCUCAUACUUUUGGAGGGUUAUGGACAUAUUGGGGAGAAAACAACAAGAAGGGAGAUUUAAAAGAGAAAUUCAAGAAGAUUAACACUAAGCAAUUGGAGAUUAGAAGCAUUGAUUGGAAGAGGAAAGAGAUCUUGGUGCAAGAAUUUUACUUUUUCUUCUACAUCUUUAUUACAAACUCGGUGAUGUAUUCUAAGACAAUUUUUUACUUUUCUUCUCGUAUUAUGAGUAGCUAAAUUCAUUGUUAGGGGGAAUAAUGUAACCAAUUGGGAUCUUUUACAUUCUCUUAUUAAGACUUUCAGUUUUUAAUUCUUACAUGUGUUGAUUUUGCUAUGAGUUGAAUGCAUUAAAUUAUUUGAUCAACAAUUUGAUGAUUUUUGUGAAUUCUUUACAAAUAGAGAUAUGAGUUUAGGAUUUAGACCAUGUAGUAAAAUUCAAUACAUUGGUAUAACGAGUAGAGAUACCUAUACCAUUUAUUGCUGUCAUAAUUGAAUUCCUAAAACAUAGAACUCGUUUAACUAAGUUGAAUUUGCAUAGAGAUAUGCAAUUUAAUUAGUUGAAUAGGCUCAAUGCAAACUCGAGAGGGGUAAAUUGAAUACAAUGGGAGAAUUCGACCGAGCGCUACAUUAGAAUUGAGUUUUAAUUUGAAAUGUAAAGGUGAUCUAUUGGUGAAGUUAUUCUACCCUAACAUCCAUUCAUUAUUUGAUUCUCCAACCAAUCGUGUGAACAUUCAUUUAUUUUCUAGAAUUUAGAUUAAAACCCAGAUUUUACGACCUUUGAUUCGUGUUAGUCAAUUAGUAGUUAAAGAAAGAUUGAAUUAAAUGCUAGAAAAUAGUCCUUGUGGGAUCGACAAACCGGACUCUUAGGUCCACUAUUACUUGUUACGGGUCGCACACUUGCGAAACAAAAUUUUACAACAUUUGUCAUUUGAGAAAUUAUACAAAAUGAGUGCAGUAUGCAGCUAUCAAUGAUUUUGAACCCUUACAAAGAAAUUAAAAUUAAAGAGAAAAAAAUGUGUUUGCCCUUCUUCAAGAGCUAUCAAUUCAAAAGAUAUUUUGAUUAUAUUGCCACCAUAAUUUAUUUUUGUUUCACUACCUUUUAAGUCUAUCCCAAUUCAAAUACAUUUUUAAUAAAUACAGCACCUGAAUUUGACUAAUAUAACCAACGAAAUUAACAAAAUAAAUACCCCAACAAUUUCACCAAUUUAUCUGUACACCACAUUAAAUUUCAAGAAAUGUCGAAUCUCCAAACACGCCCCCCCCCCCCCACCUUCCCCCAUUCCAAACCCCCCCCCCCCCCCCCCCAAUUGCUCACCAUAAUAUACCAAACCACCUUCAUUAUUCAGUGCAUCUCUUCUUAGCAACGAAUAUCCUUUUUCACGAGGUACCGAAGAGGAAAAAUAAUGGAACCAAAGUUGAUAAUGAUGGUAGCGCUAUUAAUAUUAGUACUAGCCCCGGUCACCACCACCACCGUAGAGUAUGUCCGAUCACCGCCUCAAAAAACAGUUCAUUUUCCAUGGAAUGAAAGGCUUCGUCCCUCCUCAACAAGUAAUGCCCAUUUUUCAUUUUAGGGGGAAAAAAGCAAAUUUUUUCUUAAUAUUUUUUGUUUUUGUCAAGUGUUAAUGUUACGAGAGAAGUUAAGGAAAGAAGUUGAACUUUGCUUAAGAUUAAUUGUUCUUAAAUUUAUUUUACUUUCUUUGUUUUUUAGGGUAUUUUCAAAUGAAAUGUUGAUUGCUCAAUUCUUGAAAGAGUGGAUUAAUUGUGUUUAGAUGCAGUAUAUUUAGUAUAUUUAUGUUGAUUGCUCAAUUCUUGAAAGAGUGGAUUAAUUUAGUGUGUAGGAAUUUUCAGAAUUAGCGGUUUAGAAAUAACGAAUUAUUGCUUGACUAAGCACAAAUAUAAUGGUUUGGAAUCACCAUUAACCGACAUAAAUCUAAAUCCUUUUCCUAUCGCUCAUAAACCAUCCCUCCAACGUGCAUGACAGAUAAUUGAUAAUAUUUUCAAUUGAAAAAAAAAUGUUCUAAAAAAUAUAAACAUAAUCACUAUAGUACGGAAAAGAAAAUUAUCUUCCAUGGACAAACACAAAAGCCAUCGUCAACGGAAAAGCUAUGCACCAUUCGCUAUUGAUAGAGAGGAAAAAAUAUAUAUAUUUGUGGUUGAACUAUAAAUUAUUUUAUGUAAAAAGAAAAAAAAAGAAUAUUAAAAUCCUAUUUAUGUAAUUUAACAUAAGGCAUAUUGUGAUGCACCUAACAAAAUUUGUAUACCCUUAAGCUACUUCAUCAUUUGAAUCGCUCUUACGUGACCAGAUGUCCAAUAAAUUCUGCCCUUCCGAUUUUGAUAAUAAUUAUUCCCAAGAAUCUCAUUUAAAAAUAAUGAAAUCCAUUGGUUUAGAGAGUGCCCAGCACAACUAUAUAUCUGUGGGUGUUGACCUCCAAAAAUGGCUCCUUCACGUGGCCAACUUAUAGCUACUCCACGUAUGCCUCCCUACGAAAUGAACAAAUGGUCAGGCGCACACGGCCGGAACCGAGGGUGGUGGUGGCGACCGUAUACACUCCGACGGUCAACUCAGGUUAGGAUGGUCGGAACAGUGCCUUGGAGCUACACAAAUCAAUCAAUAAAGGGGGAGGAGAAAAUAUAAACUUGUUUUGGAAUGCUGUGUAUUGAGAGUUUCAUUACCUUUGCCUCUUGCUAAACUUUGGGUAUUUAUAGGUGGUAUGAACCGUGGGAUAUAGAACACGUGUAUACAUCUGACGGUAUGAAGCGUCUGCUCAUAGGCAUCAAUCAGUCGCGCUUGUAGAGUGGGCGGACAGUUUGUUUCCCCCGAAUUGAAUUGACAUAAAGUUGAUAAGUCACAUCAAAUAGCCUCAUGAGGACGUCAAAUCAAUUUAAACCUUAGAUGUAGGACAAAUCUUGAAUUGGCGGCGGAUCUUCUAACCGGGGUCCACUUGAUCCCGACCUCGGAGGUGGGAUGUUUCGGCAGAUCAGUAGUAGGAAUCGAUAUAUCACUUCGGAGAAGCUUCGGGAGGGUCGGAGUGGCCUACUUGAUCUUGGCUUCGAUGGUGAGAUGACACUUCGGUAUCGAGGAGGUGGGAUGCUUCGGCAGAUCAGUAGUAGGAAUCGAUAUAUCACUGCGGAGAAGCUUCGGGAGGGUCGGAGUGGUCUACUUGGUGGUGAGAUAACACUUCGGUAUCGAGGCUCGAAUAAUCGAGGCGUAACAAUGGUCCCCCAAAUUCGGGAAUGAAUAUUUAUAUUAUACGUGGAUUUAUUUUCCUAACUGGGCCGCGGCGUGGGGGUAGCUGAAACUUUUGAAAGCAUGGGAGGAAACGCAGCGGCCGAGGCAAUGAGCCAAUGGGGCGAUCGCGUUAGGUGCGUCCAAGCUUUAUAAAGUUUGAGGGACUCAUCUCGCACCGAUGCGUUGACAGGAAAAGGUCGAUGCGUGGGGAGAUGGCUGAAACUUUGUAAAGCAUGGGAGGAAACGCAGUGACCGAGGUGAUGAGCCAAUGGGGCGUUCCCGUCAGGUGCGUCCAAGCUUUGUAAAGUUUGAGGGACUCAUCUCGCACCGAUGCGUUGACAGGAAAAGGUCGAUGCAUGGGGAGAUGGCUGAAACUUUGUAAAGCAUGGGAGGAAACGCAGCGAUCGAGGCGAUGAGCCAAAGGGGGCGUUCGCGUCAGGUGCGUCCAAGCUUUGUAAAGUUUGGGGAAGGAGCUCAUCCGAGGUGACCCAAACGUCCAAUGAUUUGACAACUGUUGCGUGUUUCCAAGGUGACAGUUGGGUACCAUGCCCAUUCUCCUAAAAGGCUGCUGCGGCUAGUAAUUAUUAUUGACGACUGUUUGUAACCGAGGUGACGCGUUUCAAUUUAUCGUGAAAGUCACAGCGACAUCUUGGGCGUAGAUCAAAUCUGGCAUUUCAUUUCAACGACCCGGAUUGAGGAUGCGACGAACGGUUUAGAUUGAUCGUAUUUGAAUUCAACGGUGGAGAUUGGACUUGUCUUUCCUAUAAAAGGCGAACUCUGGGGUUUUAUCAGAGUUUCUAUCUUUGCCAGACGAAAACCAUAAUUUGCUCUCAAAUUUUCGGCGAUUUUCGACGUUUUGCAAGCAACUCCGGCGAGAGAGAACGAUACUUCCCACGAUCCUGCACCAUUUCCAGCUAGGAAAAACUUCCAAACCCAUAAGUUUCAGCACCCAUUUGGACUGUAAAAAAUUUCUUAACAAAUGGCCUCGGAAGGGAGUUCUGGUUUGGGGAGGGGCUUAGAAAUAGUGAGGGUGGACGAGCCCAUUGUGGCGACCUCCUCAGAAAUAGCUGGGGCAAUAAUGGGGGGGAGAACAUAUGGAAGCGACCAGAUAGCCCCCCGAAUACUUCUGUGCAUUGGGGGCGUCGGACUACCCAUCAAAAUUGAGGGAGGCCGACCUGGGUAGACUUAGGACAGAAUAUAGGAUCCCAGACAGUGUAGACUUGAUUCUCCCCGGGCCGGAAGAGAGCCUGUUACCCAAGGCCGGGCUGUGUGGCCAUUAGUGAGGCGAUCCUUAGGGCCGGACUUAGGCUGCCUAUCCACCCAUUCUUUAAGUUGGUGCUUAGGUCUUACGGGCUAGCCCCGACGCAACUCAAUCCAAACUCCUGGAGCCAAAUGGUGGGCUCCUGGAUGUUGUGGAAAGAGGCGUCGUUAGGAGUGGAGAUGCCCCUUUCCGUUUUCCAGACCCUCUAUAUACCCAAGGUUACUGCCGGGGGGGAUAAGACCCGGGAUUGGUACUACCUGACGUCAUGGGGUUCCCACACUCCAUUCGUAAUCGAUCUACCAAGCUCCAUCAAAGAAUGGAAGAGCUCAUGGUACUGGGCAGCGGGGCGAUGGGACACAAUAGAGGGGGACCCCCUGGCGCCUCUUACAGUUCCGGCGAAGUUUUCAACACUUAGUGAGUAUAGUAGUUGCUCCUUUUGUUUUCUCUUCAGUUCGGCUUGUGUUUAACAGUUAUGUUUCCUUUCUUAGGUUCCCUUCCUCGGUGCGAGCUAUCAACAGAGGACUUCGACACUAUCUGUGUCAUUUAUCAGCUACCUCAGAAGAAGAGGUCCUACCACAGGCUGAUCCGGAAGAACAUCCAUUUCAUCACUCACGACUUAAUGGCGUCUCAAGGUAAUAGGACCGAAGCCCAUACUUUUUUAUUCCGAACUCCCUAGACUUGUACUAAUUCCUUAUUCGUUUCUUUGCAGAUAACUUCAGCAAGAAGCUGCCAGUACGCCCCGACUUCAAGACCAUCCAGAAAAUGAUGGUGAGGCACGGGCGCUGAAGGCCUCCUCCUCUUCGUAUAAGAAGCAAAUGGAGGAGCUGGUGGAGGCGAGUAAGAGGCUUCAGCCUCCGACGGAAGAGGAGGUUCAGGAAGACCCGGAGGCUGACCUCCAAAGGAAGGGCAAGAAGAGUGCUGCCCCCCCAGACGCCCAACUGUGGCGAUGCCACCCCCAGUUUUGAGGCAGACAAUUAUUCCCACGGGGGUGGCCCUCCCGGAGAGAAGCCCCGCUGCGGCAGAGCCUGUCGCUGCCCCGAACACAGCGCCCCUUGCGACCGUAGCCAUUGAACAAGUUCCGGGGCAGCAGAGGAGAAAAAGGGCCCGCUCCAGCAAAGUCGUCGACGCCAGUGAUGCGGUCUCUGAUGAGUAACAUUGUUAUGGAGUACCUCUUCUUUAGAGGCCUCUCUCAUGGGAUUGUCUUCGCGGCUGUAGCUCAUCCUAAGAACUUGGAUUGUAAUUCGACUUUCUUUUUCAAGAAGCCCCCCUUUCAGGGUCAGUCGUCGGUUUUCCGGUGUCUUCUCCGAUGGGGAACGCAAAACUUCAAAUGGGGAGUGAGGUUCCCACAGACGGCGCCAAACUGUUGACCUCCAAAAAUGGCUCCUCCACGUGGCCAACUUAUAGCUACUCCACGUAUUCCUCCCUGCGAAAUGAACAAAUGGUCAGGCGCACACGGUUGGAACCGACGGGGUGGUGGCGGCCGUAUACACUCCGACGGUCAAGUCAGGUUAGGGUGGUCGGAACAGUGCCUUGGGGCUACACAAAUCAAUCAAUAAAGGGGGAGGAGAAAAUAUAAACUUUUUAUGGAAUGCUGUGUAUUGAGAGUUUCAUUACCUUUGUCUCUUGCCAAACUUUGGGUAUUUAUAGGUGGUAUGAACCGUGGGAUGUGGAACACGUGUAUAAUCUGACGGUAUGAAACGUCUGCUCAUAGGCGUCAAUCACUCGCGCUUGUAGAGUGGGCGGACAGUUUGUUUCCCCCGAGUUGAAUUGACAUAAAGUUGAUAAGUCACAUCAAAUAGUCUCAUGGGGACGUCAAAUCAAUUUAAACCUUAGAUGCAGGACAAAUUUUGAAUUGGCGGCGGAUCUUCUAAUCGGGGUCCACUUGAUCCCGACCUCGGAGGUGGGAUGCUUCGGCAGAUCAGUAGUAGGAAUCGAUAUAUCACUUCGGAGAAGUUUCGGGAGGGUCGGAGUGGCCUACUUGAUCUUGGCUUCGGUGGUGAGAUGACACUUCGGUAUCGAGGAGGUGGGAUGCUUCGGCAGAUCAGUAGUAGGAAUCGAUAUAUCACUUCGAAGAAGUUUCGGGAGGGUCGGAGUGGUCUACUUGGUGGUGAGAUAACACUUCAGUAUCGAGGCUCGAACAAUCGAGGCGUAACAGUGGGUUCAUCGUUUAUUGCUUCCAUGAAAUUUCUUGCUCUUUUCGUUCAAUUGUAAGUUCAGGUUUCUCCGUAUACAUGAAUAUGCUGAAAGAUACUAAUCGCGAUUGAAAAAAACUUGUGAUUUUGGACGGCGCAUCCUUAAUCUGGUAGGAUAAGAAGUAGAUCUAUGUGUCCUGUGUGUGAUGGGAUUUCUAAUUUCUUCAGGUCAAAUGUAGAUCUAUGUGUAUUAUGUUUGCGAUGAGAUUUUUUUUUUUUUCCAAGUUAUCUAGUAUUAGCAAGCCAUGGCUCGACAACGGCUGUGUUGUAUGAGUUUACAACAUUAUCACUAUGAUAAUCUUGGGUCACUGUUGUUGAUUUUAUAUCUCGUAAAUGUAUGAAAUUUUAUAACUAAUAAAGUGGAUCUAAAAGUCCGAAUUAUUGGUUCAGCUAUUUCUAACUUCAAUUCGAAUGUGUUUACUUUCUUUAAGUAUUUUUUUUAUUUUAAAUAUACUAAAACAAUUAACACUAGCAUAAAUGGAUUUUUAAUGAUGGUUAAUAGAAUUCACGAGUUCAAGAUAGAUGUUCCCUUAAUCUCAAACGUCAAUUUUUAUAAUCACAUAUGCCUAAUCGAAAUCUUCAGAAUUAAUUGAUUUCCUCUCUUGAAUUCAAACCAAUCAUACCCAAUUAAGUCAACUCACAUCUCUAUGUGAAUCAUAAUAAACUUUAUUCAAGAGCAUUCAAUCAUUAAAAAAUUCAUUUAACGAACAACCAUAAAAUUGCACAUAUGACCUUUAAUUCAAACUCCAAGUCUUUACUAUGUUGUAUAAAAAAACAGCUCAACUAUCAAUAGGAAUGUCAACGAGUCCAGUUGAGUCGACUUGCGAGCCGAUACUCAAAACUUGAGCUCGGCUCGAGUAAAAGUGGUUCAAGCUUUUUUUGGCCCAGCUGAAUCGAGUUUUUGCUUAGUCAAAAAAUUGAUGUUCGAUCCGAACUUUCGACUUGGGCAUUAUCGAGUCCAGCCUAGUCGUAAUUUAUUUUUUUAAUUGGUUGCUUGCUGAAAUUUGUAGUUACACAUGGUUGUCGAUUUUAUUUUUUAAAUAUAAAUAUGCUUACGAGCAAGCUCGAGCUCAAGCCAAUACUCCAAAAUGGGGCAUGGCCCAAGCCUUGGCUCGAGUUUUCCGUGGUGCCCUAGGCGGCAGCUAAAUUGACACCCCUACCAAUCAAUAUUCGUCUGAAAACAAUUUUUAACAUCCAAAUAUACCAAAUUCGUCUACUAAGAGAUUAAGUAUGACCCAUUUCAAAAUAUUAAAAAAAAUGUUUAAAACUUCAAAAAUCAGAUAUUGCUUACAUUUUUUAUGGAAUAAUUGAUUAAAAAUAUAUUUAUUAAUUAAAUAUAUUAAGGUCACAACUUUAUACCAUUUGAUCACAAGUUAUUGAAUUAAUUGGUCACAAAUUAUUUCUCGAUCACAAAUCAAAUAUUUUGUAAGUCACAUUUUAUUAAUUUUUCACAAAAUCACAAAUUUUAUGAGUAGUACUUAUUUAAUUAUCACAAAUUAUCAAUUUAAUAGAUCAAAAGUAAUUUUUCAGUUUCAACUUAAUAAAUUAUGAGUCACAAUCAUAUUUUUUAGAUCACUUAUCACAAAUUAACUAAUUUAUUAGUCAUAAUUAAUCAAAAAAUUGGUCACAAAUAUCCCCUUCCCAUCCUCACCAAUGACUACUGCACCACCGCCAUGACCACCACCACCACCACUACAAAGAUCCAGUUACUAUUGUCACUAGCAUCACAUAUGAUCGAUGAAGCAUCAAGUAGUGGUUGUUAGUGGUGGAAUAGCCAACUACAAUCCAUGCUACGUUGCUCACAAGCGCUUUGUUUUGGCGCUUUACCACCAUGCGCUGCAAUGUCGUCCAAUGGCACUCACAACUUCUUCAAUCAGCGUUGCACCGUCGAGCGCUGUGGCAAAGUGCUGGAAUGAAGCUUCUUGGAAGUGUGAGAAGGAAGAAGGGAGAGUCGAUGCCGGCCCCUUCUCUCAAGGAAUUUUGGAUUGACUACACCACCGGACCUAGACAAAUAAAAAAGAGACGACGAAUGGAGAGAGAGAGAGAGAGAGAGAGGAUUUGAAAUUGGGGAUGGGAUAGGUAUGGGGUGAGAUUGAAUUGUAGAUUAAUUAUAAUAUGAAUUAAUCAUCUGAAUUGUGAAUAAAUAAACCUAAUCUCUAAUUUAUAAAUUGUGAUCUUUAAAUUCAUGUUGGUGAGUAAUUUCCACAAAUCAAAAGGAAUAAGAAUUUAACUCAACAAAAAAUUUAAUUUUAACCAAACUAAGUUCUUAUGGGAAUUUAGGAUAAGACACUACAACAAUUAAAUAUUUAUUUUCACAUUCAUGAUACACAAAUAAUUUGCUAUCAAAUUAAGUACUUUAUUUCAUAUAUAUUUAACUAAAUUUAAAGGAACAUCCAUAACUAAAUUAGUUUAUUUUAUAAAAAAUAAUAUUUAUUGAUAAAGUAAAAAUAUAUGACUUAUUUUUAACCAUGUUUGACUAAACUUAACCGUAAUUAAAUUUUUUCUUAUGUAUUUUACAUAUAUUACUUAUAUACACUUGUGAGUUAAAAACUUAUUUAUUGCUAUUAUCAAAAUAAAUAAUUUGCUCUAAUUGAAUUUCAUCAAUAAAAAAUAUUUUUUAAAACUUUAUUUAUUUAUAAAUUAAUUUGAUUAUAAGUAUAUUAUUGUAGUGAAUCAAACAUGGAUGUAGAAUAAAUUAAUUUUCUUUUGACUCUAUGUUUCUGGUCAUUUUGUUUUCACUUGAGGUGGCAUUCGAGUGUAUUGGUAUAAAAAAAUUCAUACUUACUUAGAAUAGUAUUUUGUAACCAAUGACGUUCAAUCAUAUUUUUAUUGUGUUACUGACCAAAAGUUUCAAUUGUUUAAAAUGAUUGGUAAUCGAAUUUCUGUAGGUGAUUGAUAAGUAUAUAUCAUUUGCUCAUUCUUAUCAUGCUUCCGUCCUUUAUAUAUUUUUUAAAGAUGACAUCGAUUCAAUUCCAAAGAUAUAAUUUAUUAUCUUACGAUUAAAAUCUAAUUUUAUAUUUGCUUGAGUAUUGAAAUAUUCGUUUUAAUAAUUGUCUGGCACCACAACUGACGAGUACUUUCUUUUCUUUUGAGAUUAAGUCAAGCCUUGCAUCCUCAAAUGGAUAUGUUUCACACUACGCAUUAUUGAUUACUGCUUGGCUUGCAAUAUAACAGAAAAAUAUUUAACCAAAUGUCAUAAAUAUUCAUUUGAUCCACCGGGGAAUGGUGAAUCUCUUGCUGAUCUUACGAAAGGAUAGGUGAAAAUCCCAGCUUUUUCGUGGCGAACUAUUUCGAAGAGAGCAAAGACAAGGAAUGAUUCUUUCCCCUGUGUAAGGACACGGAUACCAUAAUGCAAUUAUAUGGUCGUCAUUUACCGUGAGCUCUUCACUUUGCCAAUGCAUUAAGAUCAAUACAUCAUAAUUUCACUAUAUAAUAGAUGUUGGGCCCUCUGAUAUCUGUAAUAUAUUAAAUAUUAAUUUACUCUAAUUCAAUUAUUGCAAGAAUAACUUACUUUUUAUUUUUCAAUAUAUUUAAUUAUUUUAAUAAUACCCCACUUAUAUUUAAUAUAUUAAUUAUUUGAACCAUUUGAACAAUAUUAUCGUACCACGUCAGUUUGUGACAGUAACACAAACGAAACAAAGAUUACUGAAAACUCUAUAUACAACAAACCUUACGAAAAGAACACAUUGCAAACCAAAUACAGCAUAACAGUCACACUUAUAUAUAGCCAGACGAGACCUACAUUAACAAACUCGAAAACCUAGUACGUUCUACUCUGUAAGGUACAGACUCAGAUGAUUCAUCUCUAAGUUCUGAACUUGGACUCGUCUAUCUCGAUUCCUUCCUCCCGUGCACGUUCUUCUCCUGGCUUGUCCCCAGUGCUCAGUCCACCUUUGCGACCCAUUUCUUGAUAUCCUUCAGUUCCCAGC
rnacentral:lncRNA from 1 species